rnacentral:tRNA from 1 species
GCGCCUCCGUAGCUCAGAUGGAUAGAGUACUGGCUACGAACCAAGGGGUCGGGCGUUCGAAUCGCUCCGGGCGCA